GACGAACGCUGGCGGCGUGCUUAACACAUGCAAGUCGAACGAAGUGGCGAACGGGUGAGUAACGCGUAAUCAACCUGCCCUUCAGAGGGGGACCACAGUUGGAAACGACUGCUACUACAGCAUACUGAAGGAGGGGAUGGCGUCGGAGUCGCUAGUUGGAUGGGUAACGGCCCACCAAGGCGAUGAUCAGUAGACGGUCUGGGAGGAUGAACGGCAACAUUGGGACUGAGACACGGCCCAGAUGUCUACGGGAGGCAGCAGGGGGGAAUCUUCCGCAAUGGAGGAAAGUCUGACGGAGCAACGCGGCGUGAGUGAUGACGGCCUUCGGGUUGUAAAGCUCUGUUAAUCGGGACGCGGUACCGGAAUAGAAAGCCACGGCUAACUACGUGCCAGCAGCCGCGGUAAUUC
rnacentral:rRNA from 1 species